rnacentral:rRNA from 1 species
UACGAAGGGGGCUAGCGUUGUUCGGAAUUACUGGGCGUAAAGCGCGCGUAGGCGGUGGUCCAUGUCAGAGGUGAAAUCCCGGAGCUCAACUCCGGAACUGCCUUUGAAACGGGACCGCUAGAAUCCGAGAGAGGAUGGCGGAAUUCCUAGUGUAGAGGUGAAAUUCGUAGAUAUUAGGAAGAACACCGGUGGCGAAGGCGGCCAUCUGGCUCGGUAUUGACGCUCAGGCGCGAAAGCGUGGGGAUCAAACAGG